rnacentral:rRNA from 1 species
GACGAACGCUGGCGGCGUGCCUAAUACAUGCAAGUCGAACGCUGAAGGCGGAGCUUGCUUCUCUGGAUGAGUUGCGAACGGGUGAGUAACGCGUAGGUAACCUGCCUGGUAGCGGGGGAUAACUUUUGGAAGCGAUAGCUAAUACCGCAUAAUAGUAGAUGUUGCAUGACAUUUGCUUAAAAGGUGCAAUUGCUUCUAUACCAGAUGGACCUGCGUUGUAUUAGCUAGUUGGUGGGGUAACGGCUCACCAAGGCGACGAUGCAUAGCCGACCUGCGAGGGUGAGAGGCCACACUGGGACGGGGACACGGCCCACACUCCUACGGGUGGGAGCAGGCGGGAAUCUUCGGCAAUGGACGGAAGUCUGACCGUGCGACGCCGCGUGAGUGCAGAAGGUUUUCGGGCCGUGAAGCUCUGUUGUACGUGAAGAACGAGAGGGAGUGUUGACAGUUCACACAGUGACGGUACCUGACCAAAAAGGGACGGCUAACUACGUG